GGAUGGACCUAAUGGACAGACACACAGACACACGGACACACAGACACACGAACACUGGAGACAGAAAAAAGCUGGGAGUGGCCAAGAAGACUAGAUCAGAAUGGGCGAGUAGCAGCUAGAACUUCUGUAAAGGCUGAUCCUACAGUUACAGUCUGCUUCUACAGCACAGCCCCUUUGACAAAUUGCUAUGACUGUUCUGGAGUUUGAGAUUGCCCAUUUCUAUCUGUCUGUCUGUCUGUCUUCCUCCCUUCCUUCCUUCCUUCUGAAGAACCAGCUUGCCUCCAUUUUAGGCUUAAAAGCCAUCUAGUAGAAAAGACAAACUAAGUUCUAUCCUGAAUAAGAUGAAGUCUGCUCCUCAAGGACGGGGCUAUGCCCCACCUACAACCUUAACUACAAAUGGUUCUCUACUAUCUGUUCCGGAGACCUCAACUGAGUCUUUGCUUCAAAACGUUGUUAUAACCAUC
ensembl:lincRNA Gm37146 predicted gene, 37146